GUGAACGCUGGCGGCGUGCCUAACACAUGCAAGUCGAACGAUGAUAGAGAGCUUGCUCUCUUGAUUAGUGGCGCACGGGUGAGUAUACCAUAGAUAAUGUACCUCUUAGUUCGGGAUAGCCACUGGAAACGGUGAUUAAUACCGGAUACUCCUUCUUACUCUAAGGUAAGUCGGGAAAGUUUUUUCGCUAAGAGAUCAGUCUAUGUCCUAUCAGCUAGUUGGUGAGGUAAUGGCUCACCAAGGCUAUGACGGGUAUCUGGUUUGAGAGGAUGAUCAGACACACUGGAACUGAGACACGGUCCAGACUCCUACGGGAGGCAGCAGUGAGGAAUAUUGCACAAUGGAGGAAACUCUGAUGCAGCAACGCCGCGUGGAGGAUGACGCAUUUCGGUGUGUAAACUCCUUUUAUGAGGGAAGAGCAAGGACUGUACCUCAUGAAUAAGGAUCGGCUAACUACGU
rnacentral:rRNA from 1 species